rnacentral:rRNA from 1 species
AGAGUUUGAUCCUGGCUCAGGAUGAACGCUAGCGGCAGGCCUAACACAUGCAAGUCGAGGGGUAACAGAGAGAAGCUUGCUUUUCUGCUGACGACCGGCGCACGGGUGCGUAACGCGUAUACAAUCUGCCUUAUACAGAGGGAUAGCCUUUAGAAAUGAAGAUUAAUACCUUAUAGUCUAUUUUUAUAGCAUUAUAUAAAUAGUAAAGCUUCGGUGGUAUAAGAUGAGUAUGCGUCCUAUUAGUUAGUUGGUAAGGUAACGGCUUACCAAGACAACGAUAGGUAGGGGCCCUGAGAGGGGGAUCCCCCACACUGGUACUGAGACACGGACCAGACUCCUACGGGAGGCAGCAGUGAGGAAUAUUGGACAAUGGAGGCAACUCUGAUCCAGCCAUGCCGCGUGCAGGAUGACGGCCCUAUGGGUUGUAAACUGCUUUUAUAUAGGAAGAAACCUUUUCACGUGUGAGAAGCUGACGGUACUAUAAGAAUAAGGACCGGCUAACUCCGUGCCAGCAGCCGCGGUAAUACGGAGGGUCCGAGCGUUAUCCGGAAUCAUUGGGUUUAAAGGGUCCGUAGGCGGGAAUCUAAGUCAGUGGUGAAAUCUUGCAGCUCAACUGUAAAAUUGCCAUUGAUACUGGAUUUCUUGAAUUAGUGUGAAGUGGUUAGAAUGUGUAGUGUAGCGGUGAAAUGCAUAGAUAUUACACAGAAUACCAAUUGCGAAGGCAGAUCACUAACACUAUAUUGACGCUGAGGGACGAAAGCGUGGGGAGCGAACAGGAUUAGAUACCCUGGUAGUCCACGCCGUAAACGAUGGAUACUAGCUGUUCGAUCUUCGGAUUGAGUGGCUAAGCGAAAGUGAUAAGUAUCCCACCUGGGGAGUACGUUCGCAAGAAUGAAACUCAAAGGAAUUGACGGGGGCCCGCACAAGCGGUGGAGCAUGUGGUUUAAUUCGAUGAUACGCGAGGAACCUUACCAGGGCUUAAAUGUAGUCUGACAGCUUUAGAGAUAGAGUUUUCUUCGGACAGAUUACAAGGUGCUGCAUGGUUGUCGUCAGCUCGUGCCGUGAGGUGUCAGGUUAAGUCCUAUAACGAGCGCAACCCCUGUUGUCAGUUGCCAGCGAGUAAUGUCGGGAACUCUAACAAGACUGCCGGUGCAAACCGUGAGGAAGGUGGGGAUGACGUCAAAUCAUCACGGCCCUUACGUCCUGGGCCACACACGUGCUACAAUGGCCGGUACAGAGAGCAGCCACUACGCGAGUAGGAGCGAAUCUUCAAAACCGGUCUCAGUUCGGAUCGGAGUC